rnacentral:rRNA from 1 species
UUUAACGGCCGCGGUAUUUUGACCGUGCAAAGGUAGCGCAAUCAAUUGUCUUUUAAAUGAAGACCUGUAUGAAUGGCGUAACGAGGGCUUAGCUGUCUCCCCUUUCAGGUCAAUGAAAUUGAUCUCCCCGUGCAGAAGCGGGGAUAGUAACAUAAGACGAGAAGACCCUAUGGAGCUUAAAACGCAAGAACAGAUCAAAUAAUUAUUCUAAUUUAACAAGACAUAAACAACCGACCUCUGUUCUAAUGUUUUUGGUUGGGGCGACCGCGGGGCAAAAUGGACCCCCCGUGCAGAAUGAAAACACAACAUCCUCUUAUUUAAAGGCAACAGCCUUAGAAAUCAGAACUUCUGACUAACAGAUCCGGAUAGCCGAUUAACGAACUAAGUUACCCUAGGGAUAACAGCGCAAUCCUCUUUUAGAGCCCAUAUCGACAAGAGGGUUUACGACCUCGAUGUUGGACCAGGACAUCCUAAUGGUGCAGCCGCUAUUAAUGGUUCGUUUGUUCAACGAUUAAAGUCCU